CAGGAGUCCAUUCUGACUUCUAGAGAGUGCCCUGGAGCAGUCCACAGGAAGGUGCUGGAAAAGGCAGCCGCAGAUAGUCCAGCAUCCAACCUAGUGUCAUGCACACAGUUGGGACUCAGCCACUGUUGCCUGAUUGAUAAUGAAGACAGUCACUGUGAUCAACCCAACAGUAAUUGAACGUUCAUUUUUAAUAAGAGAUGAGGAAACUGAAGCCUGAGAACAACAUGAAUUCUACAAUACAUUUACCGUCAGAAGGCAGCGGUGUCAACGGCCACGACGACACCUGGAACUGAUUCCAAGACUUGUGGUCACCGUGGGAAUGCUAUUUAUUGUACAUAGUGACUCACAAAUCUAGGUUAUGUGAACUAUAAAAAGCCUGACUCAGAA